rnacentral:pre_miRNA from 1 species
AAUAUACCCCCUCCGUUCCGAAUUACUUGUCGCAUGUAUGGAUGUAUCUAGAUGUAUUUUAGUUCUAGAUACAUCCAUUUCUAUAAUGAGUAAUUUGAAACGAAGGAAGUACUUU